rnacentral:lncRNA from 1 species
GCCAAAAUGAAUCAUGCAGUCUAGGCUCAGUAGGAUAGUAAGGCUGUUAAAUGUCUGAUAAAUUGGGAAGGAAAAAAUAUGGAGUCAGUGAAACAGUGGGCUCCCUAAAGCUGAAGGGCAGGUGUAAUUGGAGUGUGCUUAAGUGUAUUGGAAGGCUAAGAGCUAAGGUCAUAGUGCAAUGGGAGUUGAUUUCAGAUGUGUAGCCAAUCUGAAGAUGAGAUCCAGGGUACAGCCACAGAAGUAGAGGAACAAGUUUAAACAGUCUGACUUGUGAUACAGCAGUGAACAGCUGAACCUAAUAGGGAAGACAUUCAAUAAACAGGUGAGCUGUAUGUUUUUCCUCAAUGUUUUUGUAACCCACACUUCUACUUUUCAUAUACCUGAAA